rnacentral:tRNA from 1 species
GCGGGUGUAGUUUAAUGGUAGAACCACAGCCUUCCAAGCUGUUGACGUGGGUUCAAUUCCCAUCACCCGCUCCA